rnacentral:tRNA from 1 species
GCGGGUGUGGCGGAACUGGUAGACGCACCAGAUUUAGGUUCUGGCGCCGCGAGGCGUGGGGGUUCGAAUCCCUUCACCCGCA